AUUGAACGCUGGCGGCGUGCCUAACACAUGCAAGUCGAGCGGUAACAGGUGUAGCAAUACAUGCUGACGAGCGGCGGACGGGUGAGUAACGCUUGGGAAUCUGCCUAUUAGUGGGGACAACCCGGGGAAACUCGGCUAAUACCGCAUACGCACUACGGUGGAAAGCCGGGGACCGCAAGGCCUGGCGCUAACAGAUGAGCCCAAGUCGGAUUAGCUAGUUGGUAGGGUAACGGCCACCAAGGCGACGAUCCGUAACUGGUCUGAGAGGACGACCAGUCACACCGGAACUGAGACACGGUCCGGACUCCUACGGGAGGGCAGCAGUGGGGAAUAUUGGACAAAUGGGCGAAAGACCUGAUCCAGCGACGCCGCGUGGGUGAAGAA
rnacentral:rRNA from 1 species